rnacentral:miRNA from 1 species
UAGCUUAUCAGACUGGUACAA